CCUGAUGCAGCCAUGCCGCGUGUGUGAAGAAGGCCUUCGGGUUGUAAAGCACUUUCAGUAGUGAGGAGGUAGUGUAGUUAAUAGCUGCAUUAUUUGACGUUAGGACGGAAGAAGCACCGGCUAACUCCGUGCCAGCAGCCGCGGUAAUACGGAGGGUGCGAGCGUUAAUCGGAAUUAUCUUGGCGUAAAGCGCAUGCAGGUGGUUUGUUAAGUCAGAUGUGAAAGCCCGGGGCUCAACCUCGGAAUAGCAUUUGAAACUGGCAGACUAGAGUACUGUAGAGGGGGGUAGAAUUUCAGGUGUAGCGGUGAAAUGCGUAGAGAUCUGAAGGAAUACCGGUGGCGAAGGCGGCCCCCUGGACAGAUACUGACACUCAGAUGCGAAAGCGUGGGGAGCAAACAGGAUUAGAUACCCUGGUAGUCCACGCCGUACGAUGUCUACUUGGAGGUUGUGGCCUUGAGCCGUGGCUUUCGGAGCUAACGCGUUAAGUAGACCGCCUGGGGAGUACGGUCGCAAGAUUAAAACUCAAAUGAAUUGACGGGGGCCCGCACAAGCGGUGGAGCAUGUGGUUUAAUUCGAUGCAACGCGAAGAACCUUACCUACUCUUGACAUCCAGAGAACUUUCCAGAGAUGGAUUGGUGCCUUCGGGAACUCUGAGACAGGUGCUGCAUGGCUGUCGUCAGCUCGUGUUGUGAAAUGUUGGGUUAAGUCCCGCAACGAGCGCAACCCUUAUCCUUGUUUGCCAGCGAGUAAUGU
rnacentral:rRNA from 1 species